GCCGGGAUAGCUCAGCGUGGUUAGAGCGCUCAGCUAGCAAUCGAGAGGUCGGGGGUUCAAACCCUCUCUCGGCG